CCUACGGGUGGCUGCAGUGGGGAAUAUUGCACAAUGGGCGCAAGCCUGAUGCAGCCAUGCCGCGUGUGUGAAGAAGGCCUUCGGGUUGUAAAGCACUUUCAGCGGGGAGGAAGGCGGUUAGGUUAAUAACCUCAUCGAUUGACGUUACCCGCAGAAGAAGCACCGGCUAACUCCGUGCCAGCAGCCGCGGUAAUACGGAGGAUGCAAGCGUUAAUCGGAAUUACUGGGCGUAAAGCGCACGCAGGCGGUCUGUCAAGUCGGAUGUGAAAUCCCCGGGCUCAACCUGGGAACUGCAUUCGAAACUGGCAGGCUAGAGUCUUGUAGAGGGGGGUAGAAUUCCAGGUGUAGCGGUGAAAUGCGUAGAGAUCGGGAGGAAUACCGGUGGCGAAGGCGGCCCCCUGGACAAAGACUGACGCUCAGGUGCGAAAGCGUGGGGAGCAAACAGGAUUAGAUACCCGAGUAGUC
rnacentral:rRNA from 1 species